GAAAUAGAUCAUCUAGUUAUAUAAACAACUCAUAGCAAUUGGUACAUAUGGAGGAUAUCAACGACAAAAACGACAAAACUGAGGUAAAAUCUAAAUAGCAUAUAUAAAAAUAUAAUAACAUUCACCAUGGCUUCACACCGGUCCAAGUUGUAUGCAUUUCAAUGGUUCCGUAGAAUAUGAAUUGAAACUGAUGGGGAUAUGAGCCAUGAAUGUAAUGAAGGAGCCCAUGAUUACAAAUUUAUGAUGAGAUUGAAUUCAAUU
rnacentral:lncRNA from 1 species